GGGUUGUGAGGUUAAGCGACUAAGCGUACACGGUGGAUGCCCUGGCAGUCAGAGGCGAUGAAGGACGUGCUAAUCUGCGAUAAGCGCCGGUAAGGUGAUAUGAACCGUUAUAACCGGCGAUUUCCGAAUGGGGAAACCCAGUGUGACUCGUCACACUAUCAUUAACUGAAUCCAUAGGUUAAUGAGGCGAACCGGGGGAACUGAAACAUCUAAGUACCCCGAGGAAAAGAAAUCAACCGAGAUUCCCCCAGUAGCGGCGAGCGAACGGGGAGGAGCCCAGAGCCUGAAUCAGCAUGUGUGUUAGUGGAAGCGUCUGGAAAGGCGCGCGAUACAGGGUGACAGCCCCGUACACAAAAGCGCAUGUGCUGUGAGCUCGAUGAGUAGGGCGGGACACGUGGUAUCCUGUCUGAAUAUGGGGGGACCAUCCUCCAAGGCUAAAUACUCCUGACUGACCGAUAGUGAACCAGUACCGUGAGGGAAAGGCGAAAAGAACCCCGGCGAGGGGAGUGAAAAAGAACCUGAAACCGUGUACGUACAAGCAGUGGGAGCCCCACCACUAAGCCAGUGGUGAACUCCACAUACGCAUCCUUUGCUGAGGAUACGGUUAACGGAGCGAAAGCGACGUUCAACCUCAAAAGAAGCAGAGGGGGCUUAGUGGUGGGGUGACUGCGUACCUUUUGUAUAAUGGGUCAGCGACUUAUAUUCUGUAGCAAGGUUAACCGAAUAGGGGAGCCGGAGGGAAACCGAGUCUUAAUUGGGCGUUAAGUUGCAGGGUAUAGACCCGAAACCCGGUGAUCUAGCCAUGGGCAGGUUGAAGGUUGGGUAACACUAACUGGAGGACCGAACCGACUAAUGUUGAAAAAUUAGCGGAUGACCUGUGGCUGGGGGUGAAAGGCCAAUCAAACCGGGAGAUAGCUGGUUCUCCCCGAAAGCUAUUUAGGUAGCGCCUCGUGAAUUCAUCUCCGGGGGUAGAGCACUGUUUCGGCUAGGGGGCCAUCCCGGCUUACCAACCCGAUGCAAACUGCGAAUACCGGAGAAUGUUAUCACGGGAGACACACGGCGGGUGCUAACGUCCGUCGUGAAGAGGGAAACAACCCAGACCGCCAGCUAAGGUCCCAAAGUCAUGGUUAAGUGGGAAACGAUGUGGGAAGGCCCAGACAGCCAGGAUGUUGGCUUAGAAGCAGCCAUCAUUUAAAGAAAGCGUAAUAGCUCACUGGUCGAGUCGGCCUGCGCGGAAGAUGUAACGGGGCUAAACCAUGCACCGAAGCUGCGGCAGCGACGCUUAUGCGUUGUUGGGUAGGGGAGCGUUCUGUAAGCCUGUGAAGGUGUGUCGUGAGGCAUGCUGGAGGUAUCAGAAGUGCGAAUGCUGACAUAAGUAACGAUAAAGCGGGUGAAAAGCCCGCUCGCCGGAAGACCAAGGGUUCCUGUCCAACGUUAAUCGGGGCAGGGUGAGUCGACCCCUAAGGCGAGGCCGAAAGGCGUAGUCGAUGGGAAACGGGUUAAUAUUCCCGUACUUGGUGUUACUGCGAAGGGGGGACGGAGAAGGCUAUGUUGGCCGGGCGACGGUUGUCCCGGUUUAAGCGUGUAGGCUGGUUUUCCAGGCAAAUCCG
rnacentral:rRNA from 1 species